AGAGGAGUGGAUGGAGGGAUGGAUGGUAUAGAGGAGUGGAUGGAGGGAAGGAGGGUAUAGAGGAGUGGAUGGAGGGAUUGAGGGUAUAGGGGAGUGGAUGGAGGGAUAGAGGGUAUAGAGGAGUGGAUGGAGGGAUAGAGAGAUGGAGGGUAUAGAGGAGUGGAUGGAGGCAUAGAGGGUAUAGAGGAGUGGAUGGAGGGAUAGAUGAUAUAGGAGUGGAUGGAGGGAUAGAGGGUAUAGAGGAGUGGAUGGAGGCAUAGAGAGAUGGAGGGGUAGAGGGUAUAGAGGAGUGGAUGGAGGGAUAGAGGGUAUAGAGGAGUGGAUGGAGGCAUAGAGAGAUGGAGGGAUAGAUGGUAUAGAGGAGUGGAUGGAGGGAUAGAGGGUAUAGAGGAGUGGAUGGAGGGAUAGAGGGUAUAGAGGAGUGGAUGGAGGGAUAGAGGGUAUAGAAGAGUGGAUGGAGGGAUAGAGGGUAUAGAGGAGUGGAUGGAGUUAUAGAGGAGUGGAUGGAGGGAUAGAGGGUAUAGAGGAGUGGAUGGAGGUAUAGAGGAGUGGAUGGAGGGAUAGAGGGUAUAGAGGAGUGGAUGGAGGUAUAGAGGAGUGGAUGGAGGGAUAGAGGGUAUAGAGGAGUGGAUGGAGGAAUAGAGGGUAUAGAGGAAUGGAGGGAUAGAGGGUAUAGAGGAGUGGAUGGAGGAAUAGAGGGUAUAGAGGAGUGGAUGGAGGCAUAGAGAGAUGGAGGAAUAGAGGGUAUAGAGGAGUGGAUGGAGGGAUAGAGAGAUGGCGGGAUAGAGGGUAUAGAGGAGUGGAUGGAGGGAUAGAGGGUAUAGAGGAGUGGAUGGAGGGAUAGAGAGAUGGAGGGAUAGAGGGUAUAGAGGAGUGGAUGGAGGCACAGAGAGAUGGAGGGAUAGAGGGUAUAGAGGAGUGGAUGGAGGCAUAGAGAGAUGGAGGGAUAGAGGGUAUAGAGGAGUGGAUGGAGGGAUAGAGAGAUGGAGGGAUAGAGGGUAUAGAGGAGUGGAUGGAGGCAUAGAGGGUAUAGAGGAGUGGAUGGAGGCAUAGAGAGAUGGAGGGAUAGAUGGUAUAGAGGAGUGGAUAGAGGGAUAGAGGGUAUAGAGGAGUGGAUGGAGGGAUAGAGGGUAUAGAGGAGUGGAUGGAUG
ensembl:lncRNA